rnacentral:lncRNA from 1 species
AUGGAGUUGGGGCUUUCACAGUCUCUCAGGACCUGGAACUCUAUAGGGCCUUCUGCACCCUUAGGACCCUCAGAGUCUGAGUCCACAGAGGCCUUGGAUUUCCCAGGGCUUGGCAAAACAACGGAGCAUUUGGAGGGGUUCCGGUCCAUAGAAGCACUUGAGCUAAACAGUGUGCUCGGGCCUUCACCAGGAGUGGGCAGUAGGGAGCUUCCUGGACCGUUGGAGGCGGUAGGCUGCACUAGGGUACUUGGUCCCUCACCAGCAGUAAGCGGCACGGUGGUGCUCAGCCCCUCAGUGGCGGUGGGAGGCACAGAGGUGCUCAGUCCUUCACCAGGGGUGGGUGGCAUGGAGGUGCUCAGUCCCUCACCAGGCGUAGGCUGCAUGGAGGUGCUCAAGCCCUCAGGGGUGGCGGGUGGCACGGAGGUGCUUGAUCCCUUACUAGGGGCGGGCACGAAGGAGGUGCUUUGUCCAUCAGUGGCGGUGGGCAGCACGGAGGUGCUCGGUCCCUCACUGGGAGUAGGCGGCACAGAGGUGCUCAGGCCCUCAGUGGCAGUGGGAGGCACAGAGGUGCUCAGUUCCUCACCAGGGGUGGGAGGCACGGAAAUGCUCAGUCCCUCACCAGGAGUGGGCUGCACGGAGGUGUUCAGGCCCUCAGUGGCUGUGGGUAGCAUGGAGGAGCUUGAUCCCUUACUGAGGGUGGGCACCAAGGAGGUGCUUUGUUUGUCAGAGGCGGCAGGCAGCACGGAGGUGCUUGGCCCCUCAUCAGGGGUGGGCGGCAAGGAAGUGCUCAGGCCCUCAGGGACGGUGGGCGGCACGGAAGUGCUCAGUCCCUCAUCAAGAGUGGCCGGCACGGAGAUGCUCAGGCCCUCAGUGGCGGUGAGCGGCACGAAGGUGCUCGCUUCCUCACCAGGGGUGGGCGGCACGGAGGUGCUCCGUCCCUCAGCAAGGGUGGACACCACGGAGGUGCUUGGUCCCUCAAAGGCGGUGGGCGGCACGGAGGUGCUCGUUCCCUCACCAGGGGUGGGCGGCACGGAGGUGCUCGGUCUCUCAGAGAUGGUGGGCGGCAAGGAGGUGCUCGGUUCCUCAGAGGAAGUGGGCGGCCUGGAGGUGUUCUGGCCCUCCGGGGCGGCAAGCGUCACAGAUGUGCACAGCCCCUUAGACAUCGUGGGAGGCCCAGAGGUGCUUAGGCCCUCACUGGGGGUGGGCAGCACGGAGGUGCCAGGUCCCUCAGAGGACGGUGGGCUGCCCAGAGGCGCUUGAGGCCUCAGAGAUGGUAGGCGGCACAAAGGUGCUUGGACCCUCAGCGGAGGUGGGCAGAACGGAUGUGCUUGGGCCCUCAGAGGCACAGAGGCCUUGGAGGAUCUGGCAGUCGCUGGGACCCUGGGGGACGUCGAGCCCUGCACAUCACCGGGGAGCCCGGGGGCAUUAGGGGCCUGGAUUUCGCUGUUGUGCGCAGUGGCCUUUGCACCGCGGCGGCGGCGGCGGCGCGAAUUCUGGCUUACCAGAGACAUGGUCCUGCCGACCGGCGCGUAGAUCUGGCAGAGAGGACUGUAGGUGUGUAGGUGCCUCGGCACAAAACUGCUGCUAGCGGUAAUUCUGUUGCUGCUGCUGCCAGAACUAAAGUUCCAAGCAACUUGCUGAAGCUGAAAUUAGAGGUGGUGAAAAAGGCAGGCACUGGCCAGCAAUGAAUGCUAGUCUCAGUGUACUCUGCUUCUCACACCCCGCCCUCUGCCGCAGUCCGCGCAGUCGCAGACCCGCUCUGCGGCAAGGCGAUCUCGCCCCGCCCCGCACCUCCCCAGGGCGGGGAGAAAGUGGAUGCGGUGGUUCUGCACCAAAGGAG